AUUGGCUGAGGCGCAGCGCGUGGGAGCGGCCGUUGGCGGCCGGCUCGGGGCCACCCGGCUCUCCCCUCAGACAGCGCCGCACCCACAGCCCGGGCCGCCCCGCUCGGCACCGCCGCUGCAGCCGCUGUGCGGGUGUCAUGGUUUUAUCCUUGGUGGUGACUGCAAUUCCACAUCGUAACAUCAUGUAGUGCACCUGGAGUUAAAGCAUUAAUGCUCCAGUUCCGGGCACCUGUCUGAAAGAGAAGAACUACAUUCCCAGGGGGGCUUUGCGGUCAGAGAGGAGAUAGAACCUCUGGCAAAGUCACCUGAUCUCCUCUUCUUCCCUCGGCUCUCGUCCCGACCACACGCAUCGCCUCAGCACUACUAUCGUUGCCGCUGCUUUUAAUUAUUUUGGGGUCCCCUGUUUCCCUUUUCUGGAGGUGUGGAUUUUGCGAAAUCCCUCCACCCCGCUGGUCACAGAACUGAGCCGAACCAGCCUGUAAACCAUUGACAGCGGGCAGUACUGAGAUGGAACCGCGGCACUGAGGAGCGGUGCUGAGGACAGCAGUGCCACAGCUCUACAUGUAACACUACAACAAACGUGACAGACGAAGACCCAUCCCUGUGGAGCGGCACUACUCCCUCCACGUUCUCCAGAACCAUCGGCGCAACCUGGGCCUGGUGGGCGGCACAUCUUCCAGCACGCUGAGGAUCAGCAGUGUCUGCAGCACCAGACAGCGCACGGCCGGCUCGCUGUCCUCCUUGGCGCCCUCCAGGGCUGCAAUGGAGCGGUGCUGUGUCACCACGUGGGCCCCACAUGGCACUUCCCGGGGCACGGGGCAGCGGGGGGGACGGCU